rnacentral:rRNA from 1 species
GAUGAACGCUGGCGGCGUGCCUAAUACAUGCAAGUCGAGCGAACAGACGAGGAGCUUGCUCCUCUGACGUUAGCGGCGGACGGGUGAGUAACACGUGGAUAACCUACCUAUAAGACGGGGAUAACUUCGGGAAACCGGAGCUAAUACCGGAUAAUAUAUUGAACCGCAUGGUGCAAUAGUGAAAGACGGUUUUGCUGUCACUUAUAGAUGGAUCCGCGCCGCAUUAGCUAGUUGGUAAGGUAACGGCUUACCAAGGCAACGAUGCGUAGCCGACCUGAGAGGGUGAUCGGCCACACUGGAACUGAGACACGGUCCAGACUCCUACGGGAGGCAGCAGUAGGGAAUCUUCCGCAAUGGGCGAAAGCUUGACGGAGCAACGCCGCGUGAGUGAUGAAGGUCUUCGGAUCGUAAAACUCUGUUAUUAGGGAAGAACAAAUGUGUAAGUAACUAUGCACGUCUUGACGGUACCUAAUCAGAAAGCCACGGCUAACUACGUG